UCAUUGCUCUCUCUCUCUCUCUCUCUCUCUCUCUCUCUCUCUCUCUCUCACGGCCGCCAUUGGAGGAGCUACGAGGAGGAGGAGAAGCGAUAGUGAAAGGGGGGAUCGAGGGCGGAUGCGAUCGGUGGGUUUGAAUCUUCUUUUCAUAUAUCUCUCUGUUGCCAUUGGAGGAGCUGGAAGGAAGAGGAACAUCGGUGACGAUUGGAGCUCGGAGGAGGAAGGGAAGCAUCAGCGUGAACUGGCGGAUUAGAGGUGGUACUGAUUG